rnacentral:rRNA from 1 species
CCAGAGAUGGAUUGGUGCCUUCGGGAACGCUGAGACAGGUGCUGCAUGGCUGUCGUCAGCUCGUGUUGUGAAAUGUUGGGUUAAGUCCCGNAACGAGCGCAACCCUUAUCCUUUGUUGCCAGCGAUUCGGUCGGGAACUCAAAGGAGACUGCCGGUGAUAAACCGGAGGAAGGUGGGGAUGACGUCAAGUCAUCAUGGCCCUUACGAGUAGGGCUACACACGUGCUACAAUGGCGCAUACAAAGGAGAAGCGACCUCGCGAGAGCAAGCGGACCUCAUAAAGUGCGUCGUAGUCCGGAUCGGAGUCUGCAACUCGACUCCGUGAAGUCGGAAUCGCUAGUAAUCGUGGAUCAGAAUGCCACGGUGAAUACGUUCCCGGGCCUUGUACACACCGCCCGUCACACCAUGGGAGUGGGUUGCAAAAGAAGUAGGUAGCUUAACCUUCGGGAGGGGCGCUUACCACUUUGUGAUUCAUGACUGGGGUGAAGUCGUAACAAGGUAAGCGUAGCGAG